rnacentral:Y_RNA from 1 species
GGCUGGUCUGGAAGUUAGUGAGUUAUCUCAAUUGAUUGCUCACGGUCAAAGAUCAAACUUCUUAUUCUAUUCUUUCCCCUCUUCUCACUACUGCACCUGACUGUCUUGA